rnacentral:rRNA from 1 species
UACGUAGGUGGCAAGCGUUGUCCGGAAUUACUGGGUGUAAAGCGCGUGUAGGCGGCAGGCCAAGUCUGCGGUGAAAGCGCCCGGCUCAACUGGGCGAGGUCCGUGGAAACUGGUCAGCUGGAGGACGGUAGAGGCGAGUGGAAUUCCCGGUGUAGUGGUGAAAUGCGUAGAGAUCGGGAAGAACAUCGGUGGCGAAGGCAGGUCUCUGGGCAUUAACUGACGCUGAGGAGCGAAAGCAUGGGGAGCGAACAGG